AUAGUAGCUGGGAUUACAGGCGCGUAGCACCCCGCCCAGCUAAAUAGAGACGGGGUUUCGCCAUGUUGGCCAGGCUGGUCGGGAGCACCUGACUACAGGUAAUUGCCCGCCUUGCGCUCCCAGAAUGCUGGGAUCUUUUUUCAUUUGUAGAGACAGGGUCUCCCUGUGUUGCCCAGGCUCAUCUGCAAUUCCUGGGACCAAGUGAUCCUCCAGUCUCCUCCGAGAUCACAGGCCUCAUGUGAGUCACCACUACCGGCCCCCCCUUUUUUUUUAAUCCUAGAGGUGUCUUCCUAAAACCAGGGACCUAGCUACAGAAAACUCAUUCUCAGACCCAUAAUCCCAGGUCUGUCUUCUCCUUCUGUCCGAGGUACUUUUAAUGUUUUUGCUUGAGUUCAGCCAGUGGAAUAAAAAAACCUUUUCAUUCUGUCUCAUCUAAAAGCUGUAUUCUCCCAACAGAAACUACUGAUGCAUUUGAAACCAACGGGAUAGGAUUCAAAACUAGGUGACAAACCCGUGAGAAAUCGAACCUGGCUGAAUGUCUGAGAGGCCGCUACUGUAUCAACAUCACAAGAUAAAGCACUCUGGUAUCACCUGCCCAUGUCCUCGUUAGUGUCACCCAAGACAUUUGACUCUGAUACGGUAACUGAUAACUUUUCUUGCUCCACUUUGCAAUGUUUUGUUUCCUACAUCUUAUUACCUUGGGACACAAAAGUGGCAGAGUUGUUGAGAGCUGAUGACCAGAAAAGGGAGAACACUAGAGGAAAUGAGACAGGAAAGAAAGCCAAAGCUGAUUUUCCAACUCUAUGCUGACUCCAACCUGCAGAAAGAGCUGAAUAUAGAAAUCUUCCAUAUAUGAUGAAGUCACUCUACUUAUGACAUAAUACACAGAGGAAUCACCUGGCUUUUUUUUUUUUAACCCAGAAGAGUUGUGCUGGGGACCAGGCCCCAUCCCGCUGAUACAGAUCCUGAAUGGAAUCAUCAGGAAUGGCACAGUGCAGGUGUCAAUAUCAAAGUAAGGCCGCAGAAUUUUGAGAGGACCCUCCAAAUACUGAGAACUUCUGUUGCACUCAAAACAGUCUCCUGGAUUUCUAUAUUUUUAUGUGAAGGGCUCUUAUCGAUGUCCCCCAGAAUCCAGACUCAGACCUAUUUCUCCAAAAAGGUCCAAUUGGGUUGCUACAUAGUAGCAAGGGUUUAUCUUCAUGCUCACCCAGCAUUCCAGGCCCCCAUUACUUCAAGUGAGCUUGAAAUUGUUUUAAGUGAACUAUGGCUGCAGAUUUUUUUACUGUUUUAUCUCUCAGGGAGCAUACAGUGGAGUGAUUAAAGUUUGGACUCCUUCUCCUUGUGAUGAAGAGAAACAAUGAGUCCAGCUCUUAGGAAUGGCAUCAGUUCUCCUGCAAACAAAAUGCUGGGAUGCAGAGUUUUGGCACAUUGUGGAAACAGGAGAACUAUUAAUUCUGUAAUGGUUUUCAUGCCAUCGGGUCAGGAAGGCUGUCCUACACUAAACCUUACUGCAUCUGAAAACAUGUUAAAGCCACCAGCUUUUUUUUUUUUUUUUUUUUUUAAAAGGAAAAUGAGAUUACAAAUCAAUACCUCCACAGGGAGGUAAUUCCUAAUAUUCCUAUGAUCUCUGAACCUUAUUUAAAAGCUAAAAUAAAAAUAUCAUUUUGGUUUUUC